AAAAAGAUAAGCUAAUGUAAGCUGUCGGGUUCAUACCCCGUUUAUAGAGAAAUCUUCUUUUUA
rnacentral:tRNA from 1 species